CCGGUUACAGCAAGUCCAUUAAGGGGAAAAAAAAAAAAAAAAGCCCAUAAACAUACAGUGAAAGGACUUUUUUUCUGACGUGGAAACAUCAUCUUCUUUCAUACUAGAUUAAUAUUGUUUAUUACAGAAGGGUACAACAACAAACGUAGGGUUGAUCAGCUUAGUGUAAGGCACUAAGCAUCCGUAUAACCUUGGGCAAGUUAUUUAAUCUUUCUAUGACUCAGCUUCUAAGAUGUAAAAUAGAAAAACUCCUCCUUUAUCUUACUGCCUAUCUUCCUUUUUUGCCCUCUGCUUAAACUUCAAGUUCUGUGGUUUCAGGGCUAUUUCUUAACAGGCACCUUGUAAAUGGACAGUCUUGCAGGGGUUCUGCUGUGAGUAUAAGUCGCUGCUCUCCCAGGAAGUGUCUGUGUUUUGCAAUCUGUUUUACAUAGCAGCAUUUAACCUGAAAUCUGGCCAUCUGAAAGGUUUAUCGUUACACCUAUAUUGCCUUCAGUACAUAGCAGAAGGACACAAUUCACUUGAGACACCUUGAUCCAAACGUUAGAAGCCUUCUGCUCCACACCUCAGGCUUAGCUGGAUAUGUUUGAUCUUCCAAACACAUGGCUGAAAAUGUACUGUUAUCCACCUGCAGUUGGCCAUGCAAAGAUUUUAUUAUCUUCAAGACAGUAAAGAAUUCUCCUUAAUUGAUCUCUUCUAACCAAAUACUUCCUAAGGUAAACCAAUGACAGCUAAGUCAAAAGUCAUUGUGAGAUUCUACGCUAAUUAUCUGUGAAAUAAAUAAAUAAAUAAAUAAAUAAAACUUUCUC
rnacentral:lncRNA from 1 species